UAGGGAGCGAGCGUUAUCCGGAUUUAUUGGGUGUAAAGGGUGCGUAGACGGAUGAACAAGUUAGUUGUGAAAUCCCUCGGCUUAACUGAGGAACUGCAACUAAAACUAUUGAUCUUGAGUGCUGGAGGGGAAAGCGGAAUUCCUAGUGUAGCGGUGAAAUGCGUAGAUAUUAGGAAGAACACCGGUGGCGAAGGCGGCUUUCUGGACAGUAACUGACGUUGAGGCACGAAAGUGUGGGGAGCAAA
rnacentral:rRNA from 1 species